GACGGAGGGUGCAAGCGUUGUUCGGAUUGACUGGGCGUAAAGGGCGUGUAGGCGGUUGCCCAAGUCCGAUGUGAAAGCCCGAGGCUUAGCCUCGGAAGUGCAUCGGAAACUAGGCAGCUGGAGCGCGAUAGAGGAGGGUAGAAUUCCUGGUGUAGCGGUGAAAUGCGUAGAUAUCAGGAGGAAUACCGGCGGCGAAGGCGGCCCUCUGGAUCGUUGCUGACGCUGAGACGCGAAAAGCGUGGGGAGCAAACAGG
rnacentral:rRNA from 1 species